GAUGAACGCUGGCGGCGUGACUAAUACAUGCAAGUCGAGCGAACGGACGAGAAGCUUGCUUCUCUGAUGUUAGCGGCGGACGGGUGAGUAACACGUGGAUAACCUACCUAUAAGACUGGGAUAACUUCGGGAAACCGGAGCUAAUACCGGAUAAUAUUUUGAACCGCAUGGUUCAAAAGUGAAAGACGGUCUUGCUGUCACUUAUAGAUGGAUCCGCGCUGCAUUAGCUAGUUGGUAAGGUAACGGCUUACCAAGGCAACGAUGCAUAGCCGACCUGAGAGGGUGAUCGGCCACACUGGAACUGAGACACGGUCCAGACUCCUACGGGAGGCAGCAGUAGGGAAUCUUCCGCAAAGGGCGAAAGCCUGACGGAGCAACGCCGCGUGAGUGAUGAAGGUCUUCGGAUCGUAAAACUCUGUUAUUAGGGAAGAACAUAUGUGUAAGUAACUGUGCACAUCUUGACGGUACCUAAUCAGAAAGCCACGGCUAACUACGUG
rnacentral:rRNA from 1 species